rnacentral:rRNA from 1 species
GAGUUUGAUCGUGGCUCAGAUUGAACGCUGGCGGCAUGGCUAAAACAUGCAAGUCCGGGAUAGCCUUCGGGUGAAACCGGCGGAAGGGCGAGUAAUGCGAUCGCACGUACCCCGAGGUGGAGGAUAGCUGUGGGAAACUGCAGGUAAUACUCCAUGUGUUCCAAGGAAGAAAGCUUCGGCGCCUUGGGAGCGGCGAUCGUCCUAUCAGGUAGUUGGCGGGGUAAUGGCCCACCAAGCCUAAGACGGGUAGCGGGUGUGAGAGCACGGCCCGCCGCAUCGGGACUGAGACACUGCCCGGACUCCUACGGGAGGCUGCAGUAACGAAUAUUCCGCAAUGCGCGAAAGCGUGACGGAGCAAUGCCGCGUGCAGGAUGAAGCGGUUUCGCCGUGUAAACUGCUGUCAGGGACUAGAAAUACUGAUCAGUCCCAGAGGAAGAGACGGCUAACCCUGUGCCAGCAGCCGCCGCGGUAAC